rnacentral:rRNA from 1 species
GAAACGGGUGGGCCCUCGAAGUCCAUGCGUCCGGGAAGACUCAGCCUGUCACGGCUCGAAAGGAUUAGGCCUGCGAUCCCCGUGUGAUCCGACGCGUCCGCGUCGCCGUCUGCGGGGCAAAGCUGUGCGGUGCGUCCGAACUAUUCGCCAGACGGUGCAUUUCUUCCCGGGCUCGCUGGACGCCGCUGCCGAUUGUUUUCCGGCCGAGAGGUCUCGCACGAGUUUGGAGCGUGGUGCCUUCCCCAGUGGAGGUCCAUCCCGCGAGACCUCGGCGCGGAGAGCGAUCGAAGAGAGUUCACUUUUCGUUCCUCGAGGCUCGAAGUGGCCCGAUGCGGAGUCCCGAAUCCGAUUGUAUCCUGGAGCAACCGCAGGAAAUCCGUUCCUCGCCCCUUUCCGAGUGGGCGCGUCGGUCCGGCCGUAUUGCCGCCAGGUCGGGAUCUCCGCGGCGGAGUCGAGAGAAACGGCAGGGAGCGGCGAGUAGGUCGGUGUCCCACCCGACCCGUCUUGAAACACGGACCAAGGAGUCUAACAUGUGCGCGAGUCAAUGGGUCUCGAAUAAGCCCAGAGGCGUAACGAGAGUGAGUUCGUUGCGAUCCCGGCCGCUGAGUCGAGUCGGAGGCAGCAACCGCCCGCCGAGCAAUCGGCGGAGCGCGAGCGCACACGUUGGUACCCGAAAGAUGGUGAUCUAUGCUCGGACCGGUUGACGGCAGAGGAAACCCUGCUGGAGGACCCUAGCGGUUCUGACGUGCAAAUCGAUCGCGCGAUCGAGGUAUAGG